rnacentral:tRNA from 1 species
UCCCUGGCGGCCCAGUGGCUAAGGCUCUGUGCUCCCAAUGCAGGGGACCCAGGUUCAGUUCCUGAUCAGGGAA